AACGGCGAGUGAAGCGGCAAGAGCUCAAAUUUGAAAUCUGGCCUCCCCCGGGGGCUCGAGUUGUAAUUUGCAGAGGAUGCUUCGGGUGCGGCCGCCGUCUAAGUUCCUUGGAACAGGACGUCAGAGAGGGUGAGAAUCCCGUCUUGGGCGGGCGGUCCGCGCCCGUGUGAAGCUCCUUCGACGAGUCGAGUUGUUUGGGAAUGCAGCUCUAAGCGGGUGGUAAAUUUCAUCUAAAGCUAAAUAUUGGCCGGAGACCGAUAGCGCACAAGUAGAGUGAUCGAAAGGUUAAAAGCACCUUGAAAAGGGAGUUAAACAGCACGUGAAAUUGUUGAAAGGGAAGCGCUUGCGGCCAGACUCGGGGGCGGGGUUCAGCGGGUGCUCGUCGCCCGUGUAUUCCUCGUCUCCCGGGCCAGCAUCAGUUUCGACGGCCGGUCAAAGGCCCCCGGAAUGUGUCGUCUCUCGGGACGUCUUAUAGCCGGGGGUGCAAUGCGGCCCGUCGGGACUGAGGAACGCGCUCCGGCUCGGAUGCUGGCGUAAUGGCCGUAAGCGGCCCGUCUUGAAACACGGACCAAGGAGUCUAACAUCCACGCGAGUGUUCGGGUGUCAAACCCGUGCGCGCAGUGAAAGCGAACGGAGGUGGGAGCCUUAGGGCGCACCAUCGACCGAUCCUGAAGUCUUCGGAUGGAUUUGAGUAGGAGCGUGGCCGUUGGGACCCGAAAGAUGGUGAACUAUGCCUGAAUAGGGUGAAGCCAGAGGAAACUCUGGUGGAGGCUCGCAGCGGUUCUGACGUGCAAAUCGAUCGUCAAAUUU
rnacentral:rRNA from 1 species